CAGGACCUGCCCUUGGCAAGGUCAUGUGGGCUGUCUCCUAUCACCUCCCUGACUUCCAUAAGCCUUAGCAUAGCUUCCAGGAGGAUCUGUUCCAUGAUUUUCCCUGGCUGAAUAGAUUGCUCCAGUUAAAGGAAUGGGAGAAAGGGAGAAAAAUCUAAAGGAGUUAAGAGAAGAAUAAUUUCUUGGUGAAACCCCUGCUCAUCAACUCCUAGCCCUGAGUACUAACGUAAGCACUUCAUUGCUGAGAAGAAAAAAAACCUGGCAUUGAAUGUCUCUCUGAAAUGAAGUAGCAGGGGAUAAAGAACUCAUCUGUAGUGUUAACUGCUUUCUUCUGGGAAAUGUAGUGAGACUAUUUCAACUUCCAUGCUUGCAGCAGAGAAGAACCAGUGUCCACAUUCCUUAAUUCUAAGUCUACAGUAAGUUUCUGCUACAAUACGCUCUAAAAGAAUCACCAGCUCCAAUUCAAUUUACAUUACUAGUUACAACUGUUCAGCAUCACUUUUUUUCCUAUUUCAGAUAUUAUGGCAAAACACAAACACGCCAUAGAAACAACUCUUUAAAUAAUUAAUGGUCUGGCUCUGCAGUUCAUCACUUCCAAAACAGCAGUCUUACUGGCAUCAGCAGAACUGCUUGCAUCCUGGUAUUUGGCUAAUGAUGAACAACAAGCAGGCAGUCGGCAUACAGAUGGAGAACUUUUGGAAACCUCUCUAUAUUAAUCUUCCCACAGCACCAGCACAGAAUCCCCAAAUGAACUCAGCAAAUCCCAUUCAGCUGCAAAGGGAUGCAAGAAACUGUGAGUGUUUUACCAAGGACUUGUAAAGAACUGCACCAUGGAUCACACGAUCUCUGAGAGUACACUGAGGUCACAGGGACAGAGUUUAUACACAGUCCAUACAAAUCUCUAGCCAUAUAGCUGGAUCAGAAAAUGUCGGUUAUGUUUCCUUCAUUUCUGAAGACAGGUUGCCAAAUGAAACCAAUGCUGACAGUCAGAAUCUGAUUAGCAAUUACCUGAGGGUAUAGCUCACAUUUUUCUCUUGUACACUCACAUCAUUAAUUUAAUAUGUUAUAAACCCUAUUAUUAUCACUGGCUCUUGACAAACAGUUCAAGAAAAAAGCAUGCCAUUGAAGAUCCCAAGAACUGUGAAGCAAGAAAUAAGAGGAGCCAACUGCAGUGAACUAUUCAAAAUGCAUCCACACCCAAGUUCAAGGGAGAAGAUUCCUAAAAUAUCCAUAAGAAUAUUCUUCUAUCUUUCUGCCAGUUUGAUGCCUGUUCAGACUUUUAAUUUCCUGCAUGUCUCUGGAAUGCCAGGUCUCUUCGUGUGAAGACAGAACCCUCACCGGCAUCCCGAUUUGGAUGGUGUGAAAUUUUCCAUAAGGACUCAUCUUAAUUUUAGUGAAGAUCCUGCACCCUACAGCCAAAUUUCCCAGUGACAUGUCCACACAGAAUCAUAGAAUGGUUUGGGUUGGAAUGGACUGUUAAGAUCAUUUAGUUCCAGCCCCCUGCUAUAGGCAGGGACAUCUCCCUCUAGACUAGGUUGCUCAGAGCCCCAUCCAGCCUGGCCUUAAAUGAUUCCAGGGAUGUGACAUAUGGUCUCAGUGUGCCAAACCUCUUUUACUGGCCUGUACUGUUCUUCAGUCAUCCUCCUGUAUGACACAAUCGUUGUUGUCUAUCAGACAAAUAAAUAUAUUAACUAAAAUGCUACCAGUUAAAAAGCACAAAAAGUAAGGUUGAAGUUUCAUUUACCUACAGAAACAGCAUAUUUCACACCAAAAAGAAAAAUUGAAGAGUGAAAGCUAAGAGAUAUACUAAGUGGCUCACUGUUUUGAUUUUGCAAGAUGCAUGCCAUUUGGCAAACCUAACUCGAAGUUCACAAGGCUUUGAAAUGUGUAGUAUGAAUGUUCACAAGGCUUUGAAAUGAGUUUUGGUAUGAAGUUUUGUAGUAUGAAGUUCACAAGGCUUUGAAAUGAGUGUAUCUAGAACAUUCAUGCUACAUUUUCUCUGAAACUUCAUUAUAUACGAAGUGGAAAUUGAACAGCAAUGGAAGUAAGCACAAUAAAAUAUUUGUAGGGUUAAGUUUCAUCUUAAAACAAAAAGCUUAGUCUGAAAUACUGCUUGGCUCUUUUUGCAGGGAAAGGUCUAAAGGAAGCAGGAUGCAAUGUACAUAUGAUGGGUUUUUUUUAAGACUUUUGGAAACAGAGCAAUUUAUAAAGUCCAAGCAAUGGCUGAAUAAAGGAUGACAAAUAACUGAAGAUUUGUUAUGACAACAUUAACAUAGCAUCACUGUGCAAUUUCUCAACUUGUACCUAUCGCAGGAACAUACUCAGGAAAAACAGCUUCUCAACCAUUUUACUGCAAACAAGUCUUCAUAGCUGAGGAUGAUGACAAGACCACCAGUAUCAACAACAGCUUCUAAUCUUGUUUGAGAUGCACAAAACACUAUCGGUAUUACAACUGCAGCUUUCUGAAUGGGGAACAUGAUCUGAGUACAUGCAUGCUGAGACUGCCAACAAGCUGAAAGCAAAAUUGUACUCCCAGGAAAAAUCUGCCUUCUCCAAUAACUACUAAGGGAUCUCCUAAGGCACUGGAGUCUAUUCAAACAAUAAAUGUCAGUUUUUAAACUAGAAAGAUUUACAGAUACACAUCUGAGCAGAUAUCUGCGGUAAUUAUCUCUUAAUACCAAUUUCUUUGCAAAGAUUUUCUCCAACCUAGUUCUACCACAUGCAACGUGGAAAAAAAAGAAUUCUAACAUGAACAAGGAGCACAGAAGUCAAAUGCUUUUGCAGAAUGAAUAGAACAAAAAAAAAACAAAAAAUAAAACUUUAUGUGAUUGUUUUUUAA